UGAGCCAUUUCUCCAGCCCCAUCCAUCCAUUUUAUUACAAAUAACAUAAUGUCGUUUUUCUUUACUUUCACAACAGAAGAGAGCUUCAAUUGGAUCUUCAGCAGGUGAUGCCAUCUUGUCCAGGGUCUCUUUUGUCUUGCACUGUGGACAUUCAGCACUGGAGAAUUCUUUGCUUUCUCUGUGUCACAUGACCGACACACAACUGCAGAAGACCUGGGGAGGAGGCGCCAUCCCUACCCCUAUCUGAACAGAGGAAGGGAGACCCCCAACAGCUGGGUUGAAUCGCUUGUCAACGUCAGAGAACAAGACUUACUGAAGAAUUUCUCCCUCUUGUUUUGACAUUGGACUCCUGUUUUAGUGAAACCCAAGAGUCCCUAGCCACCUGGAAGAACUAACAGGUAAUUAAUGAAACCAAAGGCCCAACCACUGCUUAAUGACCCACAGAAUGCUAUUUCCAUGGUCAGCAU
rnacentral:lncRNA from 1 species